UACAGAGGGUGCAAGCGUUGUUCGGAAUUAUUGGGCGUAAAGGGCGCGUAGGCGGUGCUAUAAGUCUGUGGUGAAAUCCCCGGGCUCAACCUGGGAAUGGCAUUCGGGACUGCAAGGCUGGAGUGCGGCAGAGGAGACUGGAAUUCCUGGUGUAGCAGUGAAAUGCGUAGAUAUCAGGAGGAAUACCGAUGGCGAAGGCAGGUCUCUGGGCUGACACUGACGCUCAUGCACGAAAGCGUGGGGAGCAAACAGG
rnacentral:rRNA from 1 species